rfam:Solanum tuberosum cultivar DM 1-3 516 R44 scf00080_74, whole genome shotgun sequence.
UUGGAGAUUUUAAAGAUUUCAACUUGCAUACUUGGAGGAUUUGAAAACUUCAACUUGUAUACUUGGAGGUUUUGAAGACUUCAACU